rnacentral:tmRNA from 1 species
GGGGCUGACCUGGCUUCGACGGGUGACGGAGUUGGAUCAGGGUACGCCGAGCACCAGUUCGCCCGUAAAUCCACUGGAAACAAAGCAACCGCGAACGAUAACCGUACGCCCUCGCCGCUUAAAACCGGUGAGCUCGCAAACAGUUGGCCGAGGGCUGGGUCUGAGGGGUAACCUGGAAGACUGCGAGGUCAUACACAUUGGCUCGCCCGGCGCCGGGUCACCCGGCACAGGGCUAAAUCAAGCGACUCGAGGUGACGGCAGCGCAAGCCGCUGCGCGGCCGGCACCCUCUAAAACCAAAUCAGCCAGCUGCUACGUAGAUCCGCUCGACGAUGGCUUGCGGACGGGGGUUCGACUUCCAGCCCACCA